rnacentral:rRNA from 1 species
GGGAAAAGCUCAAAUUUUGAAUCUGGCGGUCGUCAUGGCUGUCCGAGUUGUAAUCUAGAGAAGCGUCUUCUAGCGCUGGCCCGUGUACAAGUCUCCUGGAAGGGAGCGUCAUAGAGGGUGAGAAUCCCGUCUUUGACACGGAGAAUCAGUGCGAUGUGAUGCGCUCUCGACGAGUCGAGUUGUUUGGGAAUGCAGCUCAAAUAGGGUGGUAAAUUCCAUCUAAAGCUAAAUACAGGCGAGAGACCGAUAGCGAACAAGUACCGUGAGGGAAAGAUGAAAAGAACUUUGGAAAGAGAGUUAAACAGUACGUGAAAUUGCUGAAAGGGAAACGCUCGAUGUCAGUCGCGUCCGCCAGGGAUCAACCUUGCUUCAUCGCUCGGUGCAUUUCUUGGUCGGACGGGUCAGCAUCAGUUUCGAUCGUCGUAGAACGGUGGAGGGAACGUGGCACCUCUCGAGGUGUGUUAUAGCCCUCUAUCUUAUGCGUCGGAAGGGACUGAGGAACUCGACACUUCUGGUGUCUAGGAUGCUGGCAUAAUGGCCUUGAGCGACCCGUCUUGAAACACGGACCAAGGAGUCUAACAUGCCUGCGAGUGUUUGGGUGUCAAACUCAAGCGCGCAACGAAAGUGAAAGUCGAGAUCUUUGUCAUGGAGAGCAUCGACGCCCGGACCAGAGUCUUUGACRAAGGAUCUGCGGUAGAGCAUGUAUGUUGGGACCCGAAAGAUGGUGAACUAUGCCUGAAUAGGGUGAAGCCAGAGGAAACUCUGGUGGAGGCUCGUAGCGAUUCUGACGUGCAAAUCGAUCGUCGAAUUUGGGUAUAGGGCGCGAAAGACUA